rnacentral:misc_RNA from 1 species
UACAUUUUAAAUUUCAAGUCUCUUACUUCAAAAACAUAGGACCUUCAUACAAACUUCCAACCCCCGUUUUACCCCCUUAGGGGUCGAUAUCGUAAAAUCCAUUCUUAGCGGAUGUCUAAGUCUUAUAAAGAGCCUACCUGCCAAAUUUCAAGUUUUAAUUGUUAUAUUUUCGGACAUUUCGUGAUGAAUGAGUCAACCUACCAUCCCCCGUUUUAACCCCAAAAGGGAGUUGAUUUCUAAAGAUACAUUAUUUGGACACCU